rnacentral:lncRNA from 1 species
GGAAAUAAGGUAAGUUAAUCCUCCCAGCUCUGCUUAACUUCAAGACAAAGAAACUUGAAACUUUCCAACUGUGAAAACUUCUAGACCAUCCUCUUUAGAUUUCUGAAUGGGUUCCAGAAAGAAGGCUGUGAGCUUUUGUGGAAGUGGGGUUAAAUAUUGCAUAAGGAUAAAUGGCAUUUUACUGAAAGACUGAAACAGCAACAUAAAACUGUAACUUC